UCCCCGUUAUACAGGGCAGUUCACUUAGAGUGCUCAGCGCCUUGCGGCCUGGUGGCAACUAAGUGUAAGGGUUGCGCUCGUUGCGGGACUUAACCCAACAUCUCACGACACGAGCUGACGACAGCCAUGCAGCACCUGUGUAAGCUUCCUGUAUUACUACAGGAUCGUUAUCCUUUCAGACUCCUACUACCUACAUGUCAAACCCUGGUAAGGUUCUUCGCGUUGCGUCGAAUUAAACCACAUACUCCACCGCUUGUGCGGGCCCCCGUCAAUUCUUUUGAGUUUCAGUCUUGCGACCGUACUCCCCAGGCGGGAUACUUAAUGCGUUAGCUUCGGCACGGAAGGGGUCGAUACCUCCCACACCUAGUAUCCAUCGUUUACGGCUAGGACUAC
rnacentral:misc_RNA from 1 species